ACGAAGGAUCCAAGCGUUAUCCGGAUUCAUUGGGUUUAAAGGGUGCGUAGGCGGCCUGGUAAGUCAGUGGUGAAAUCACUCGGCUCAACCGAGAAACUGCCAUUGAUACUGUCGGGCUAGAGUACAGAUGACGUUGGCGGAAUGUGUCAUGUAGCGGUGAAAUGCAUAGAUAUGACACAGAACACCGAUUGCGAAGGCAGCUGACGAAACUGUAACUGACGCUGAUGCACGAAAGUGCGGGGAUCAAACAGGA
rnacentral:rRNA from 1 species